CAGCAAGGCGGGUCCAGGAUAAGGCAAGCCUAUCACUGGAUGAGGAGGAGCGGUAGGCGGGGAAAAGUCUAGGAAGGAGGGAAGAGAAGGAGCGAGGGAGAUCAAGAUGGAGUCCAUGGAAGAAAAUGGUUCAGAUUUAGUGUGCAUCCGAGGACACCCCAGCACGUUAGAAAACACCCAAACAGGUCAGCCCCACACAGCCAGGGAGAAGGCUGGUUCCUCUUGUUCUGCAUGACUGAGAUCCGUUUGUCUACAUGCCCUCCCUCAUGUCUCCAUGGUAACAAGACCGGCUGGACAUUGGACAUCCCACACUGAUUUCCGGCAUCACUUUGUAGAAGCAGGAUGGACCAUGGGCAUUUUUGCUUGUUCACACAUCUCCUGAAACUGACCCAUUCACUUAUCCAUUAACUUGAGGUUUUGUUGGGUUUAUAUUAAAAUGGUAGGGUUGGGAAAUUCUAAGAGAUCAUGUGGAGUCAAAAGCUGAAAACAUGUGCUAUUUGUCCCAUUAUAA
rnacentral:sRNA from 1 species